AAAUUCUAGGUUUUUUAAAAAAUGAGUCCAAUGAUAUAUAUAUUUUUUCAGUUGUACUGACAAAUAAUUCCUUUCAAUUAAACUUACUACAGUGAACAGUCUUGAUUACAUACUCAUCACAAAAAACAAUGUUAACUUAGCUAUUAAAGCCAGCCACAAUGCAAGGAUUGCCUUAUAUGGACACAUCUUGAACUUCAAUGUAUACUAGAUUAGAUUAUCAUCGGAGGAUGGGGAAACACUAUGUCAGCAAUAAAAAGAAAUAAUACCAAACCAGAUGUAGCAGAAGCAGAUACACUAGAGAUAUAUUAAUUGAAUCCUGAUGAGAUGUGUGAUAUUUUUAUAGUAAUACAUCAGAAUCGCUGUCACAAACUUUAGGUGGCUUGUACCAAUCGUACAUCAUUCUGGGACAGUAGGUUCUCAAAGGUGGACAAUGUUUUUUUGGCUUCAUCUCGACUUCGUGCCAAGGAUGUGCGUCGUGUGACCCAACAAUACCAAACCAAAACCAUGGAAAUAAAAAAGAAUGCCAUCCAUGUUUCGAUGAAGAAUGCCAUCCAUGUUCCGAUGAAGAAUGCCACUCAUGUUCACUUUUUCCGCUUGGACAACAAUAGUAUCGAUGAUGGCCCAUUUUGCACCAGUACUUGCAAGACUUUACAUGAGCUUUUGUUAGGAUGAUGAACAACAGCAGAAGAUAUAGCGAAUUUCUACGCAUGCUGCAAUAAUUGUUAAAAGAGAUGAGUGAUAUAAUGCUGAA